CCAUUUUCCAUCAUCACUCAUGUGCUGAUGGACACAUGAAUCUGAAAGGCUCUAUCAGUGAGCUCAAGUGUUCUUCAAACUCAGACAUUCCUGAUUCUCUGUAAGCAGUGGUAAUGGGGUAGGGAUUAAUACAGAGGGAAUUUUAUCCCUUACUUCAUGAAAGGCACAUUCGACAAAUGAGAGGAAUGGGCCAUUUGCUGUCUUGUCUGUGCAGAGCUCAGCCAUUGUGACCUGUUUGACUCCAAGAGCCUGCAUUCUCUGAAGAGCCCCUUGGCUGUGAAUCACAGGACAUGCCUUGGCCAUAUAUGGAGAGCACAUCGGAGGUCCAAGUUAACCAGGGCUUACCAAGGACUGUCGUGCUGGUGUUUUGAUCCCCAGAGACUCUUCUUUGAAGCGAGCAGGCAUACUAAUGCCUCUUCAUUUGAAUCAGAGUUCUGCUUUCCCCUUGGAGGUUUGGAGAUGACUUUGCACAUUUGUUUCCUCUUAGUCACCAGAGUACAGUCAGACGCUAAUUUAGAAAUGUGGUGUGAAGUGAUGAUGAAUAAUGGAUGAACAGCUUUCUGAAUCGGAGUCCCA
rnacentral:lncRNA from 1 species